UGCAGUCGAGCGGACCGACGGGAGCUUGCUCCCUUAGGUCAGCGGCGGACGGGUGAGUAACACGUGGGUAACCUGCCUGUAAGACUGGGAUAACUCCGGGAAACCGGGGCUAAUACCGGAUGCUUGAUUGAACCGCAUGGUUCAAUCAUAAAAGGUGGCUUUUAGCUACCACUUGCAGAUGGACCCGCGGCGCAUUAGCUAGUUGGUGAGGUAACGGCUCACCAAGGCGACGAUGCGUAGCCGACCUGAGAGGGUGAUCGGCCACACUGGGACUGAGACACGGCCCAGACUCCUACGGGAGGCAGCAGUAGGGAAUCUUCCGCAAUGGACGAAAGUCUGACGGAGCAACGCCGCGUGAGUGAUGAAGGUUUUCGGAUCGUAAAACUCUGUUGUUAGGGAAGAACAAGUACCGUUCGAAUAGGGCGGCACCUUGACGGUACCUAACCAGAAAGCCACGGCUAACUACGUGCCAGCAGCCGCGGUAAUACGUAGGUGGCAAGCGUUGUCCGGAAUUAUUGGGCGUAAAGCGCGCGCAGGCGGUUUCUUAAGUCUGAUGUGAAAGCCCCCGGCUCAACCGGGGAGGGUCAUUGGAAACUGGGGAACUUGAGUGCAGAAGAGGAGAGUGGAAUUCCACGUGUAGCGGUGAAAUGCGUAGAGAUGUGGAGGAACACCAGUGGCGAAGGCGACUCUCUGGUCUGUAACUGACGCUGAGGCGCGAAAGCGUGGGGAGCGAACAGGAUUAGAUACCCUGGUAGUCCACGCCGUAAACGAUGAGUGCUAAGUGUUAGAGGGUUUCCGCCCUUUAGUGCUGCAGCAAACGCAUUAAGCACUCCGCCUGGGGAGUACGGUCGCAAGACUGAAACUCAAAGGAAUUGACGGGGGCCCGCACAAGCGGUGGAGCAUGUGGUUUAAUUCGAAGCAACGCGAAGAACCUUACCAGGUCUUGACAUCCUCUGACAACCCUAGAGAUAGGGCUUCCCCUUCGGGGGCAGAGUGACAGGUGGUGCAUGGUUGUCGUCAGCUCGUGUCCUGAGAUGUUGGGGUUAAGUCCCGCAACGAGCGCAACCCUUGAUCUUAGUUGCCAGCAUUCAGUUGGGCACCCUAAGGUGACUGCCGGGG
rnacentral:rRNA from 1 species